UUGGAGGGCAAGUCUGGUGCCAGCAGCCGCGGUAAUUCCAGCUCCAAUAGCGUAUAUUAAAGUUGUUGCAGUUAAAAAGCUCGUAGUUGAAUUUCGGGAUCAGUAUGUUGGUCGUGCCCUUGGUACGUACUAGUUUAUUGGUUUCUUCCUUCUGACGAACCAUGAUGUCAUUAAUUUGGUGUCUUGGGGAAUCAGGACUGUUACUUUGAAAAAAUUAGAGUGUUUAAAGCAGGCUCACGCUUGAAUACAUUAGCAUGGAAUAAUGAAAUAGGACGUUUGAUUCUAUUUUGUUGGUUUCUAGGAUCGACGUAAUGAUUAAUAGGGAUAGUGGGGGGCAUUAGUAUUCAAUUGUCAGAGGUGAAAUUCUUGGAUUUAUUGAAGACUAACUACUGCGAAAGCAUUUGCCAAGGAUGUUUUCAUUAAUCAAGAACGAAAGUUAGGGGAUCGAAGACGAUCAGAUACCGUCGUAGUCUUAACCAUAAACUAUGCCGACUAGGGAUCGGAUGAUGUUAAUUUUUUAAUGACUCAUUCGGCGCCUUACGGGAAAC
rnacentral:rRNA from 1 species